GAUGAAGCAAGCUGGUAAAGAACUGAGGGCAGCCUCUGGCCCACAGCCAGCAAGGAACUGAAUCCCACCAGCAGCCAUGGCAGUGAGCGUGGAGUGUUCCUUCCUCAGUUGAGCCUUGAGAUGACCACAGCCCCAGCCAAUACUUUGCAGCCUGUGAGGGACCCUGAAGCUCAGAACCCAGAUAUUAUUGUAUGUGGAUCUUCUCCGUGUGCUCCUCUGGAUCCCGGCUCUCCUCACUCUGUGCAGGAGGCUGACUUUCAUGGACUGUGGUAUUCAGGCAUCCUUGCCUUUCGGCUGCAGGAGACCAGAGGCUGAGAGCAGAGAGAGACUCCAGCCUUGAGGGGCCUCAACUUGGCCAUGGCCCUGCUCCUUCCAACAGCAUUCUGGAUCAUCCACAUCAAACAGAAUCGAAAGCAAAGGAUGCAGCCAAGCAGACGCCACCUGGAACCCAUUCCAGUGAGGGCAGCAGUAGCCACCACACUCAAGUUCCACAAGAGCCAGGGCUAAUCUUCUGGGGCCAGCUGGGAUCUGGAGCAGGGAGAGCACUUAGGUUGUCACUGACUGCAGUGUCAGAGCCUGCAGUGAAGGUUUAGGU
rnacentral:lncRNA from 1 species